rnacentral:rRNA from 1 species
CACGUAGGCACCAAGCGUUGUCCGGAUUUAUUGGGCGUAAAGAGCUCGUAGGCGGUUCGGUAAGUCGGGUGUGAAAACUUUGGGCUCAACCCAAAGCCUGCACUCGAUACUGCUGUGACUUGAGUCCGGUAGGGGAGUGGGGAAUUCCUGGUGUAGCGGUGGAAUGCGCAGAUAUCAGGAGGAACACCGGUGGCGAAGGCGGGUCUCUGGGCAGUAACUGACGCUGAGGAGCGAAAGCGUGGGGGAGCGAACAGG